rnacentral:lncRNA from 1 species
GGUCUCUAUGGGGGUCUCUCUCUAUGGGGUCUCUAUGGGGUCUCUAUGGGUCUCAAUGGGUCCCUAUGUGUCCAUAUGUGUCCCUAUGGUUCUCUAUGGGUCUCUAUGUGUCUCUAUGGGUCCCUAUGGGUCUCUAUGGGUCUCUAUGGGUCCCUAUGGGUUUCUAUGGGGUCCCUAUGGGUCUCUAUGGGGUCCCUAUGUGUCCCUAUGGUUCUCUAUGUAUGGGGUCUCUAUGGGUCCCUAUAGAUCCCCCAUGUCCCUAUGGGGUCUCCCUAUAGGUCUCAAUGGGUCCCUAUGUGUCCCUAUGGGGUCCCUAUGGGUCUCUAUGGGGUCUCAAUGUCCUUAUGGUGUCUCCAUGUGUCCCUAUGGGUCCCUUUGUGUUCUCUAUGUGUCCCUAUGGGUCCCUAUGUGUCUCUAUGUGUCCCUAUGGGUCUUUAUGGGUCUCUAUGGGUCUCCAUGGGUCCCUAUGGGGUAUCUAUGGGUCCCUAUGUGUCCCUAUGGGUCUCUAUGGGUCCCUAUAUGUCUCUAUGAGAUCUCUAUGUGUCCCUAUGUGUCCCUAUGGGCUCCCUAUAGGUCUCAAUGGGUCCCUAUGGGUCUCUAUGGGGUCCUUAUAUGUCCCUAUGGGUCCCUAUGGGAUCUCAGUGUCCCUAUGGGGUCCCUAUUGUUCCCUAUGGGAUCUCAUUGUCCCUAUGGGUCCCUAUAGUUCCCUAUGGGAUCUCAGUGUCCCUAUGGGGUCCCUAUAGUUCCCUAUGGGAUCUCAGUGUCCCUAUGGGAUCUCAUUGUCCCUAUGGGAUCUCAUUGUCCCUAUGGGUCCCUAUAGUUCCCUAUGGGAUCUCAGUGUCCCUAUGGAGUCCCUAUAGUUCCCUAUGGGAUCUCAGUGUCCCUAUGGNGUCCCUAUAGUUCCCUAUGGGAUCUCAGUGUCCCUAUGGAGUCCCUAUAGUUCCCUAUGGGAUCUCAGUGUCCCUAUGGGGUCUCAGUGUCCCUAUGGGUCCCUAUGGGUCUCUAUGGGAUCUCAGUGUCCCUAUGGGGUCUCAUUGUCCCUAUGGGUCUCUAUGUGUCCCUAUGGGAUCUCAGUGUCCCUAUGUGUCCCUAUGGGGUCCCUAUAGUUCCCUAUGGGAUCUCAGUGUCCCUAUGGGUCCCUAUGUGUCUCUAUGUUGUCUCUAUGGGUCCCUAUGAGUCCCUAUGGGGUCUCAGUGUCUCUAUGUGUCCCUAUGGGGUCUCAUUUUCUCUGUGGGUCCCUAUAGUUCCCUAUGGGGUCUCAUUGUCUCUAUGGGUCCCUAUAGUUCCCUAUGGGAUCUCAGUGUCCCUAUGGGGUCUCUAUGUGUCCCUAUGGGUCUCAAUGUGUCCCUAUGAGGUCUCAUUGUCCCUAUGGGGUCCCUAUAGUUCCCUAUGGGUCCCUAUGGGGUCUCAGUGUCCCUAUGUGUCCCUAUGGGGUCUCAUUGUCUCUAUGGGUCCCUAUAGUUCCCUAUGGGAUCUCAGUGUCCCUAUGGGGUCCCUAUGUGUCCCUAUGGGGUCUCAUUGUCUCUAUGGGGUCCCUAUAGUUCCCUAUGGGNNNNNNNNNNNNNNNNNNNNNNNNNCCCAAAUCAGCCCUAAAAUGGCCCCAAAUGGCCCCAAAAUGGACCCAAAUCACCCCAAAAUGGACCUAAUAGGACCCAAAAUGGCCCCAAAUGGCACCAAAAUGGACCUAAAUGGCCCUAAAAGGACCCAAAAUGACCCUAAAUGGACCUAAAUGGCCCUAAAUUGCCCCUAAAUGGCCCUAGAAGGACCCAAAAUGACCAUAAAUGGCCCCAAAAUGGCCCUAAAUCACCCCAAAAUGGCCCAAAAUGACCCUAAAUGGACCUAAAUUACUCUAAAUGGACCUAAAUGGCCCUAAAUUGCCCCUAAGUGGCCCUAAAUGACCCUAAAUGGACACAAAAUGACCCUAAAUCGCCCCAAAAUGGCCCGAAAUGACCCUAAAUUGACCUAAAUGGACCUACAUUGCCCCUAAAUGGCCCUAGAAGGACCCAAAAUGGCCUUAAAUGGCCCCAAAAUGGCCCUAAAUGGCCACAAAAGGCAUCAAAUGGCCCCAAAAUGGACCUAAAUGGAUCCAAAUCACCCCAAAAUGGACCCAAAUGACCCUAAAUGGACCUAAAUGGCCCUAAAUUGCCCCUAAAUGGCCCUAAAUGACCCUAAAUGGCCCUAAAUGACCCUGAAUGGCCCUAAAUGGCCCUAAAUUGCCCCUAAAAGGACCCAAAAUGGCCAUAAAUCGACCCAAAAUGGCCCCAAAUGGCCCUAAAUCACCCCAAAAUGGCCCGAAAUGACCCUAAAUGGACCUAAAUGGCCCCAAAAUGGCCAUAAAUUGACCCAAAAUGGCCCCUAAAUGGCCCCCAAUCUCGCGAGACUACACCCCAAAUCUCGCGAGACUUCCCCCCAGUGCUCCCCACCCCAUAAUCUCACCAGACCUCCCUGCAAAUCUCGCGAGAC